rnacentral:lncRNA from 1 species
CAAAAACACUUUCAAAGUAAGAAGAAAGCUGAUGGGGGUGAAUGUGUCGUGGAAUAUGACGAGAAAGCGAACUCAGCUACUAUUGGAUUUAAACAAGAGGAGGUCCUAGAGCGCGUUCUUCUCCACACACAACAUGAAAUCACCAUCGACAACGAGCAGAUUAAGCUAUACCUCACCAGAAAAUUGGAGGCAAAGGGCAUGCCACCUGUUGACAACCAAUCUGCUGAUGGAAAGAAAACUCAAUCCCAGUCUCAAGAUCAUCAAGAUGAAGAUCCCAGUGCCUCUGGUUCUAUUGAAGUUCAGGAGGAGAGGGUUGAAGACUCCUAUCGGCCCAACGCUGUUGUUGUGGAGAACAUCGCUGAAGACAUGACAAGGGAGCUUCUUGGACUGAUAGUGGACAACAUCACUGGUAUUUCUGAGGAUGACUACAGUAUGGAGCUGAUCUAUGAGUCUUGUGUUGCUGUUGUAACAUUCACUCACCCUGAUGGUAUGUCUUUAGUUCUGUUUAAUUUGCUU